AGGCCAAAGAUAACCUCCAUCUUUCCCAGUACUGUAUCUUACUUUGGCAAAAACAAUGCUCUGCUGACUGGAACUGACCUUGAAGAUGUGAUUGGAGUAAAGGUUCAGGCAGAAAUGGACUGUUCUUCAAAGGAAUCUCCUGUUUGGAACAACAAUGGGGUGAACCUGACUUUCCACAUUCCCAAAAGAACCAAUGAAGCUGUGGCCAAAGUGUGUGUUCUACUCUCUGAUGGGAGUUGCCAUGGCGAAGCCGAGGUCAACUAUCAAUCAGCGCCAACUUGUAAAAACAUGUCACCAUCCAUUAGCUGGAGAAGUGGGAAGAGGAAGAUCACGAUCGAAGGAUUCAACUUGGAUCAUGUGGAACAAGUAGAAGUUUACUGUUAUGAAAAUAGAGUCUUUGGAACUCCUUGGGACUUCACUUACUUAGUACCUCUUGAGCACAUCAACU